CAUAUAUUCAAUAUUUGUAGGAAGUCAGACGGAUAUCCAUCCCUUGGGAGCUGGCUCAGUUCUGACUUUCUGCUGUCUGGAGGGAAAUGCAAUUGUAUGUGGUGUCAAAAGUCGCACAGCAAUCCAUCAAUUUAACAGCCAUGGAAAAUCAAGAGAUGCGAGCACAAAGCGCAAAGCAGCCAAAUCGUAAAAUAAAUUGUAGAAAAUAUAUCAAGCAAAGGACAUUAGGGACACAGUCGUUGCCCUGGGGUGGGUACACUCUGCAGGCAUCAAAUGAUUUCUUGCCUUGCCACAUUUCUAUUCUUUAGCAGCGACAAUGAAACACAAAACUCGUGUUGCAAUUGAAAACACGGGACGUGUAGCCAGGGCUCUUUGUGGCGUGUUUGCGCAAUGUUAACAUCGCUGUGCAAACUUUAAGUUGAACAGACGUGCAGAGACGACGGUCCAGCAGCUGCCGAGAAGUCAACAUGCUGCGCCCCAAUCUCUAAGCACAACGCGUGCCAUAUGUCAAACUAACUAAGAU